rnacentral:rRNA from 1 species
CGGAAGGUCCGGCGUUAUCCGGAUUAUUGGGUUAAGGGAGCGCAGGCGGUUGGAAAGCGUGCCGUCAAAUGUCGGGCUCAAACCCCGGAAAGCGGCGCGAACUGUCCGACUUGAGUACGCGGAAGGCAGGCGGAAUUCGUGGUGUAGCGGUGAAAUGCAUAGAUAUCACGAAGAACUCCGAUUGCGAAGGCAGCCUGCCGCAGCGCAACUGACGCUGAGGCUCGAAAAGCGCGGGUAUCGAACAGGAUU